rnacentral:sRNA from 1 species
AUGUACCGCCCGUACACUCCGGUUCCUGCGCGCCGCGCGCACCCGCCUGACAACCGCUCGCUACGUUUUAUCAGUC